rnacentral:snRNA from 1 species
AGAUGUGAGGGCGAUCUGGCUGUGAUAUCUGUCCCCCCAUUGAUUUGAUCGCCAGGGUUGAUUUAGCUGACCUGGCUCGCUAAGCAGGUGUCUCCCUCUUCCCUCACCACUCCAUGUGUGCCCCUCCCAAAGCUGUGUGCUUAGUUGAAAGGGAUGAUCUUCCCUGAUAGAGGAGUACUGUUCUUUGGUCAAGGAUAUAUGAGUAGCUACAUUCCCCUGCUAGAAUCCCCAAGACACUCCCAAAGUUAUUGUGAGUUGCAUAAUAUGAUUUCAAAGAAAAGGAAACAUUUGGAAAAUGUCC